GCUUAACCGAAGAAGUGCAUCGGAAACUGGGUGACUUGAGUGCAGAAGAGGACAGUGGAACUCCAUGUGUAGCGGUGGAAUGCGUAGAUAUAUGGAAGAACACCAGUGGCGAAGGCGGCUGUCUGGUCUGCAACUGACGCUGAGGCUCGAAAGCAUGGGUAGCGAACAGGAUUAGAUACCCUGGUAGUCCAUGCCGUAAACGAUGAGUGCUAGGUGUUGGAGGGUUUCCGCCCUUCAGUGCCGGAGCUAACGCAUUAAGCACUCCGCCUGGGGAGUACGACCGCAAGGUUGAAACUCAAAGGAAUUGACGGGGGCCCGCACAAGCGGUGGAGCAUGUGGUUUAAUUCGAAGCUACGCGAAGAACCUUACCAGGUCUUGACAUCUUGCGCUAACCUAAGAGAUUAGGUGUUCCCUUCGGGGACGCAAUGACAGGUGGUGCAUGGUCGUCGUCAGCUCGUGUCGUGAGAUGUUGGGUUAAGUCCCGCAACGAGCGCAACCCUUGUUACUAGUUGCCAGCAUUCAGUUGGGCACUCUAGUGAGACUGCCGGUGACAAACAGGAGGAAGGUGGGGACGACGUCAGAUCAUCAUGCCCCUUAUGACCUGGGCUACACACGUGCUACAAUGGUCGGUACAACG
rnacentral:rRNA from 1 species